UGGUCAAGUUAUUAAGGGUGCAGGGCGGAUGCCUUGGCACUAGGAGCCGAUGAAGGACGUGAUAAGCUGCGAUAAGCUUCGGGGAGUUGCACGUAAACUUUGAUCCGAAGAUUUCCGAAUGAGGAAACUCACUUAGAGUAAUGUCUAAGUAUCAUUAAGUGAAUACAUAGCUUAAUGAGGGGAACUCAGGGAACUGAAACAUCUAAGUACCUGAAGGAAGAGAAAGAAAUUCGAUUCCGUAAGUAGCGGCGAGCGAACGCGGAUUAGCCCAAACCAAUAAAGUUUUCUUUAUUGGGGUUGCGGACAUAUCAUAACGAAGAGGUAUCGUAAUUGAAGAGGUUUGGAAAGACCCACCACAGAAGGUAAUAGUCCUGUAUGUUAAACGAGAAGACUUUAGAUAUGAUCCAGAGUACCACGGGACACGUGAAACCCUGUGGGAAGCAGGAGGGACCACCCUCCAAGGCUAAAUACUACCUAGUGACCGAUAGCGUAUAGUACCGUGAGGGAAAGGUGAAAAGAACCCCGGGAGGGGAGUGAAAUAGAACCUGAAACCCUGCACUUACAAGCUGUGGAAGCACAUUUCUUGUGUGACCGCGUACUUUUUGUAGAACGGGCCAACGAGUUACGUUAAGUAGCAAGGUUAAGCACUUAAGGUGUGGAGCCGUAGCGAAAGCGAGUUUUAACUGAGCGUUCAGUUACUUGACGUAGACCCGAAACCGGGCGACCUACCCAUGAGCAGGAUGAAGCGAAAGUAAAAUUUCGUGGAGGUCCGAACCCACGAGCGUUGAAAAGCUCGGGGAUGACUUGUGGGUAGCGGUGAAAUUCCAAUCGAGCCCGGAGAUAGCUGGUUCUCCCCGAAAUAGCUUUAGGGCUAGCCUCAAGGUGAGAGAUACGGAGGUAGAGCACUGAAUGUCCUAGGGGGUAUUGCACCUACCGAAGACUAUCAAACUCCGAAUGCCGUCAUCUUAUACUUGGGAGUCAGACUGUGGGUGAUAAGAUUCAUAGUCGAAAGGGCAACAGCCCAGAUCGUCAGCUAAGGUCCCUAAAUGUAAGUUAAGUGGUAAAGGAUGUGGGAUUGCACAGACAACCAGGAUGUUGGCUUAGAAGCAGCCACUCAUUCAAAGAGUGCGUAAUAGCUCACUGGUCGAGUGAUCCUGCGCCGAAGAUUUCCGGGGCUAAAACUUACUACCGAAGCUACGGCAUCAGUAAUGAUGGGUAGGGGAGCUUCCCAUACGGGUUGAAGCAUGACCGUAAGGACAUGUGGACAGUAUGGGAGUGAGAAUGUUGGCAUGAGUAGCGAGAUGUGGGUGAGAAUCCCACAGGCCGUAAACCCAAGGUUUCCAGGGGAAGGUUCGUCCGCCCUGGGUUAGUCGGGACCUAAGCUGAGGCCGAAAGGCGUAGGUGAUGGACAACAGGUUGAUAUUCCUGUACUACCGAUAACCGUUUGAGAGAAGGGAUGACACAGUAGGAUAAGCUAAGCACACUGUUGGUUAUGUGUGCCCAAGCAUUGAGGCAGUCAAAGUAGGCAAAUCCGCUUUGAUAAUGCUGGGAUGUGAUGGGGAGCGAAAUUUAGUAGCGAAGUAGCUGAUUUCACACUGUCAAGAAAAGUCUCUAUCGAGGUUAAAGGUACCCGUACCGCAAACCGACACAGGUGGGUGAGGAGAGUAUCCUAAGGCCAGCGAGAGAACUGUUGUUAAGGAACUCGGCAAAAUGACCCCGUAACUUAGGGAUAAGGGGUGCCACCAUCAGGUGGCCGCAGAGAAUAGGCCCAAGCGACUGUUUACCAAAAACAUAGGUUUCUGCUAAGUCGCAAGACGAUGUAUAGGAGCUGACGCCUGCCCGGUGCUGGAAGGUUAAGGGGAUCUGUUAGAGCAAUCGAAGCAGUGAACUUAAGCCCCAGUAAACGGCGGCCGUAACUAUAACGGUCCUAAGGUAGCGAAAUUCCUUGUCGGGUAAGUUCCGACCCGCACGAAAGGCGUAACGAUUUGGGUACUGUCUCAACAACAGACUCGGUGAAAUUGUAAUUCCGGUGAAGAUGCCGGAUACCUGCGACAGGACGGAAAGACCCCAUGGAGCUUUACUGUAGCUUGACAUUGGGUCUUGGUACUACAUGUACAGGAUAGGUGGGAGGCUUUGAAACCAGGACGCCAGUUUUGGCGGAGCCAUCCUUGGGAUACCACCCUUGUAGUACUGGGACUCUAACCAUAGGCCAUGAAUCUGGUCUUGGGACACUGUCAGGUGGGCAGUUUGACUGGGGCGGUCGCCUCCCAAAAGGUAACGGAGGCGCUCAAAGGUUCUCUCAGUACGGUCGGAAAUCGUACGUAGAGUGUAAAGGCAAAAGAGAGCUUGAUUGCAAGACAUACAGGUCGAGCAAGGAUGAAAAUCGGACUUAGUGAUCCGGUGGUUCUGCGUGGAAGGGCCAUCGCUCAACGGAUAAAAGCUACCCUGGGGAUAACAGGCUUAUCUCCCCCAAGAGUCCACAUCGACGGGGAGGUUUGGCACCUCGAUGUCGGCUCAUCACAUCCUGGGGCUGUAGUAGGUCCCAAGGGUUGGGCUGUUCGCCCAUUAAAGUGGUACGCGAGCUGGGUUCAGAACGUCGUGAGACAGUUCGGUCCCUAUCCGUCGCAGGCGUAGGAAAUUUGAGAAGACCUGUCCUUAGUACGAGAGGACCGGGAUGGACAUACCUCUGGUGUACCAGUUGUCCUGCCAAGGGCAUGGCUGGGUAGCUAUGUACGGAAUGGAUAAGCGCUGAAAGCAUCUAAGCGCGAAGCCAACUUCAAGAUAAGAUUUCCCACCGCAAGGGUAAGACCCCAGAAAGACUAUCUGGUUGAUAGGUCGAAGGUGUAAGUGCAGCAAUGUAUUUAGCUUAUCGAUACUAAUAGGUCGAGGACUUGACCAAU
rnacentral:rRNA from 1 species